rnacentral:pre_miRNA from 1 species
AGGAGGAACAAGCACAGUGGCAGCGGCCAGCUCUGGAGCCCUGGAUUCAGCUCCCACAGUAACUAGGGAGCUCUCAGUCUGCAGGGGCCUCGAUGCUCCGGGGGCUG